AACGGCGAGUGAAGCGGCAAGAGCUCAAAUUUGAAAUCUGGCCUCCUCCGGGGGGUCCGAGUUGUAAUUUGCAGAGGAUGCUUCGGGUGCGGCCCCCGUCUAAGUUCCUUGGAAUAGGACGUCAGAGAGGGUGAGAAUCCCGUCUUGGGCGGGCGGCCCGCGCCCGUGUGAAGCUCCUUCGACGAGUCGAGUUGUUUGGGAAUGCAGCUCUAAGCGGGUGGUAAAUUUCAUCUAAAGCUAAAUAUUUGCCGGAGACCGAUAGCGCACAAGUAGAGUGAUCGAAAGGUUAAAAGCACCUUGAAAAGGGAGUUAAACAGCACGUGAAAUUGUUGAAAGGGAAGCGCUUGCGGCCAGACUCGGGGGCGGGGUUCAGCGGGCGCUCGUCGCCCGUGCACUCCCCGCGCCCCGGGCCAGCAUCAGUUUCGACGGUCGGUCAAAGGCCCCCGGAAUGUGUCGUCUCUAGGGACGUCUUAUAGCCGGGGGUGCAAUGCGGCCCGUCGGGACUGAGGAACGCGCUUCGGCUCGGAUGCUGGCGUAAUGGCCGUAAGCGGCCCGUCUUGAAACACGGACCAAGGAGUCUAACAUCCACGCGAGUGUUCGGGUGUCAAACCCGUGCGCGCAGUGAAAGCGAACGGAGGUGGGAGCCUUUGGGCGCACCAUCGACCGAUCCUGAAGUCUUCGGAUGGAUUUGAGUAGGAGCGUGGCCGUUGGGACCCGAAAGAUGGUGAACUAUGCCUGAAUAGGGUGAAGCCAGAGGAAACUCUGGUGGAGGCUCGCAGCGGUUCUGACGUGCAAAUCGAUCGUCAAAUUU
rnacentral:rRNA from 1 species